UCAUUAUCGUACAACCGAGGUGCGAAGGCUGUCGCUGACCCUCAAGGGUCGUGCACGCCCGAGCGCUCUCACACAAUCCAUCUCACCUUUGUGCAUCACCGCGUGGGUCCCCUUUGCGGGAGGGCUCACGUUUUCACAUAAAACUCGAUACAGUGUAGAAUGUUUCUUUUGCGGUCACACGCAAUCAAUACAACUUUCAACAACGGAUCUCUUGGCUCUCGCAUCGAUGAAGAACGCAGCGAAAUGCGAUACGUAAUGUGAAUUGCAGAAUUCAGUGAAUCAUCGAAUCUUUGAACGCACCUUGCGCCCCUUGGCAUUCCGAGGGGCACACCCGUUUGAGUGUCGUGAAAUCUUCAAAACCCCUUUUUUCUUUGAACCAUUGUGGUCGGAAAAAAGGGAUUUUUGGACUUGGAGGUUUAAUGCUCGCCCUUUCUCUUGAAAGCGAGCUCCUCUCAAAUGAAUUAGUGGGGUCCGCUUUGCUGAUCCUUGACGUGAUAAAAUGUUUCUACGUUUUGGGUUUAGCACUGUCCCUUGGAUGCCUGCUGCUAACCGUCUCAUUGACAAUGAUGGUGCUCCGGUCACUGCCGUCUACAUCGGCGGGAGGCUGGACCCACAAAAAGAAAACCUUGACCUCAAAUCGGGUGAGACUACCCGCUGAACUUAAGCAUAUCAAUAAGCGGAGGAAAAGAAACUAACAAGGAUUCCCCUAGUAACUGCGAGUGAAGCGGGAAAAGCUCAAAUUUAAAAUCUGGUGGUCUUUGGCCAUCCGAGUUGUAAUUUAGAGAAGCGUCUUCCGCGCUGGACCGUGCACAAGUCUCCUGGAAUGGAGCGUCAUAGAGGGUGAGAAUCCCGUCUUUGGCAUGGACACACCAGGGCUUUUGUGAUGCGCUCUCGAAGAGUCGAGUUGUUUGGGAAUGCAGCUCAAAAUGGGUGGUGAACUCCAUCUAAAGCUAAAUAUUGGCGAGAGACCGAUAGCGAACAAGUACCGUGAGGGAAAGAUGAAAAGCACUUUGGAAAGAGAGUGAAACAGUACGUGAAAUUGUUGAAAGGGAAACGCUUGAAGUCAGUCACGUCGACCGAGACUCAGCCUUGCCUCGGCUUGGUGUACUUCUCGGCUGACGGGUCAGCAUCAAUUUUGCCCCUUGGAUAAUGGCAAGGGAAAUGUGACACCUUUAUGGUGUGUUAUAGUCUCUCGUCGCAUGCAAGGGUUGGGAUUGAGGAACUCAGCACGCGCCCUUUGGGUGUCGGGG
rnacentral:rRNA from 1 species